CGGUAUUUUGACCGUGCUAAGGUAGCGCAAUCACUUGUCUUUUAAAUAAAGACCCGUAUGAAUGGUUAAACGAGGGCUUAACUGUCUCCCAUUUCCAGUCAGUGAAAUUGAUCUACCCGUGCAGAAGCGGGUAUAAAUAUACAAGACGAGAAGACCCUUUGGAGCUUAAGGUACAAAACUCAACCACGUCAAUCAACUCAAUAAAAAGCAACUUUUUACUAAACCUUAUGACAAAUGAGACUAUACCUUCGGUUGGGGCGACCAAGGAGGAAAAGAAAGCCUCCAAGUGGACUGGGUCAACACCCUAAAACUAAGAGAGACAUCUCUAAGCCACAGAACAUCUGACCAUAAAUGAUCCGGUCAAUUAAGACCGAUCAACGAACCAAGUUACCCUAGGGAUAACAGCGCAAUCCCCUCCCAGAGUCCAUAUCGACGAGGGGGUUUACGACCUCGAUGUUGGAUCAGGACGUCCUAAUGGUG
rnacentral:rRNA from 1 species